GACGUAGGGUGCAAGCGUUGUCCGGAAUUAUUGGGCGUAAAGAGUUCGUAGGCGGUUAUUUAAGUCUGGUGUUAAAGACGGGAGCUCAACUCCCGCAUGGCAUUGGAAACUGGAUAGCUAGAGUACGGUAGAGGUCUCGGGAAUUCCAGGUGUAGCGGUGAAAUGCGUAGAUAUCGGGAGGAACACCAGUAGCGAAGGCGGCUCGCUGGGCCAUUCCUGACGCUGAGACGCGAAAGCUAGGGGAGCGAACAGG
rnacentral:rRNA from 1 species